AUGCCUACAUCUCUGCUUCAAGAUGGAUCCCACCAUGGACUGAGGGAAGUGACAGGCUAUGAAGCUGCCCGUCCUGCUUCGCGUCGGCUGCGUUGGCUUGGUGUUGGCGUGCAACGCGGUGAUGUGGACGGUCUUCGCGAAAGCCCUGCGACUCUCCUCCUCCUCAGCCGCUGCCUCUGUGACGAUGACGGCCUCCAACUUCAUCUCCUCGGCCAUGCUGGGCAGACUUCUCUUCGGGGAGACGUGGACGCCUCUGUGGUGGGUCGGCCUCGCCGUGACGCUCUGUGGCCUCGUGCUGCUGCACACAGCUGCACCCCGGAUGGCGUGGCUUCCAGUGGAGAAGAAGGAGGCAUGAUGACUGCCAGAGGGGGCACGGUGCCAUGCCACCCCUCGCCAGCCUAUCUCCAGCUAUGGACCUGGUGACCCUGCUCACCUGCUGGUCUACCAACUUGCAAAGUCAUCCUGGCUGCCUCUUUCCCGGCAGUGGUGUGGUGGCAGUGACAGCCUCGGAGGGAGCUGGUCCACUCUGAGUCAGUAUUGUGGAAAUCGGGACCAGAGGCUUAUCAGCCACUCCUCCUCUUCACACUCUGCGGCUGCAGAGCUUUCCCAGUUCAGGGAAGGCUGAAAGUAAACAUGGUGGCUGUAGAAGGUGCCUGUGCAUCAGUACUUUUCCAUAAGAGGACCCUUCCCGAAAUAGAAAAGCAAUCAGAAGUAGACUGGAGGCAGCUGAUAUUUCUUCUCUGCUGUUCCUGACUUUCUGCCUCUUGAAAUAACCCUGUACCUGCCCUAAAGUCCUGUUGCCCGUAAGGCUGUGGAGCCUCUCGAUUCCUUCUGCUUCCUUUAUCAGUCACAUAGACCUUUUAAUUUGCCAUUUGUAUCUGAGGCCUAUAAUUGCCACUUACCCAUUCCUGAUGUGUUACUCACUGUAAAGUUGUUGCUCUUUCCUUUAAAAUUAACCAGGAUGGGUUUUGAUCACCAUUCCUGAUUUGAUCACCAUUCCUGGUUUUUAUAUUUCCUGGACUGUAUUUUUUGGAGAAUACAGCCAGCUGCAUGUGAAUAGGCAGCUGCUUUCACUGAGGUUGUCCAUGUUCAGCACGUUCCAUCUUCCCCUGCCCCUGCUUGCUUAAGUUGACAAUUACGUUAACAUUUGGUAAAAUUGGGUUUCUCAGUUAUCAUUUUGUUACACCUCUGGAUGAUGCUGAUUUGCAUUUGUGCAAUGUGAUCAACCAGAUCACUGGUACCCAUAGGUGUGCUACCUUCAGGGCCAGGGAUGACUGUGUGGUCAGGAUGAGAUGCCUGCUAACGCGCUCUGCGUGUCAGGAAUCGUCAUUUCUAAGGUAUCGACUUCUUUCCCAUGCCCACACAUGUUGUUUUACUGGGGGAAUUUUUUAGUUGCAAUCCUAAUCGAGAAAUAAAAUGAUGCCUAGAAAUGCA
rnacentral:lncRNA from 1 species